rnacentral:rRNA from 1 species
UACGGAGGGUGCGAGCGUUGUCCGGAAUCACUGGGCGUAAAGGGCGCGUAGGCGGCGCGGGCAGUCAACGGUGAAAGCUUGGGGCUCAACCCCGAGUCGGCCGUCGAUACUCCCGGGCUUGAGCACUGUAGAGGCAGGUGGAAUUCCGGGUGUAGCGGUGGAAUGCGUAGAGAUCCGGAAGAACACCGGUGGCGAAGGCGGCCUGCUGGGCAGUAGCUGACGCUGAUGCGCGACAGCGUGGGGAGCAAACAGG